UUUUUUUCCCUUUCGAGCCAUUGUGCUUAACUGAAUUUUAUAAAGCUGAUCGAUAUCUUGGUAAAAUAUUCAUUUUUAAACUAGCGGGCAGUGAAAUCUUUGCUUUGUGCUAAAGUCAACAGUCGCACAAUUUGAGCUCCAAUAAAUGCCGCGAUGCCACGAGUAGUGGCAGUUGCUCGAGGCUGCUUAAUGCUGGAUUGUCAUCGCCAUGUGCGGCUCAGGGGGCAGCAGGCUAACCUCCCGCUGAAGAGAAGGAAGGAUUGGUUUUCCGCUCAGUCACACCGGUUACUGGUGUGAAUUCCCCCGAUUCCAGCAAUUUGAUGUACUCUGAAAUCCUGGGAGUGGUUCCAGGCUCGGCCCCUGGGUGAGGGAUCGGGCCCCUCCCAUUGUGAUAAAACCCGACACAAGCCAUUCUGCCGAAGACAAGGAGAUUUCUCUGCAAACGCGACCCCGUUUUGGGAUGAAGACUCGUGUAAAAGCGUAGCCGGCACUUGGAAUACAGUGAAGCGAAUGAAUCCUUGGGACCUUCACAGCAAAGUGGAGAGGAGACAGCUGAGGGGCUGGGUUUUGGGAGCUGUGCCCCCCCCCCCCCAGUGAUGGCUGCUGAGUUCCCUUUUCUUCCCUGUGCAAGUAAGUCGGCCUCAGAGCAGAGCGAGGAUCUGGAAUUGUAAAGGGACCAGCAGGGAACUGACCAGGGAAUAGUUUUCACUCAAUUCCCACGUUCUCUCGGAUUUCUCUCCUUAUUCCCUGGAGAGCCACCAUUCCCCCCAGCCUGUUAACCGGGGACAAUGAGUGAGAGCCUCGUUUAAUUUAAUUUUCCUGUCAGCCUAAACAGAACUACAUUGUGAACCUUACACCGACUCAUACAGAGCGGGGCUGCUUGGUGUCGCCAUUUGCACCAGAAAACCCCCCAAAGAGACGUCGUUCUGGGAACUGGCAUCAGGCUGGCAUCAGGCUAGAACCCAAUGAUGUUUUCCAUUUGAGAACGGUGCCCCAAUUGUCAUUGAUACAUAGCAAUCGUAGAUCCAGCACCAGGCUGCAAUACCGGGCAUGGGGCUACACACCAACCCAAACCUGCAAACCCCUAGAGGGGAAAGGAAGAGAGAGAUAACAAAGGAGGAAACUGUAGAUGAGCCCAAUCAGAACUAUUCAACACAAACGUGUCCAGACAGCAUGUGACACAACCUGGGAUAUAGAACGUUUUCCUCAGUGCAGAUGAUGGAUGGUUACAUUUGCCAUUCCAUCCCUCCAGUGGGGUUCAUUUGAAAGGACUGAGUAAGAUGUCUUGGAAAUGCAGCAUUGUUGAAUUAUUCUGCCAUCGAGGACCCGACCCUGACACACCCAGGCAAUAAUAAAACUCCCAUUGACUUCAAAUAGUAGAAAGGAUCGGGUCCCUUAGCUCCCAGCAGAAUAGCUUACUGCUAAGUUCUUUUCUGCCCUACUGAAUUUUAUCACUGUUUGUCCUUCUCAGUGGGGGGGG